UCCAGGCGCUCGCGCGCGCUGCUCAUGCUCUGUGUGUGCCUCUGUAGCACCGCAUUCUGCUCCUCGAAGGCCACGUUCAUCUUCCGCAGGCGCCGCAGCUCCGCCUCCCGAGCUGCAGGCGGGGAGCCAGCCUGCUCUCCUAAGAACCCCUGGUGAGCACUUACCUUUGUUUUGGUCCAAGAAUUCUUCAGUGAAGAUGGGGACGUCGAAGGUGGAAAAGCCGUCACAGUCCCCACCCUGGGACGACAGGACAAGGCAGCAUGCAGAAGUUCCUGAGCCAGGGAUUGAACCCACGCCACAGCGGUGACAACACUGGAUCCUUGACCUGCUGAGCCACCAGGUGGAAGGAAGGACACUCCACACCCUUUCCUUUGGGGUAAGUGGCUGCGGGUGAGGGUCUGAGCGUAUGGAGAGAGGUCAGUGGUCUCGGCAGUCCCCACCUGCUUCUCCGCUGGCUGCAGCUUGCUCCACUCCGCGCCCAGCAUCUUGGUAAUCUCGGGAAAAGGCAGGUCUGG